UAGCUCAACAGUAAGAGUGCUUGCCUAGCAUGCAUGAGGCCCUGGGUUCAAUCCCCGG
rnacentral:tRNA from 1 species